GACGAACGCUGGCGGCGUGCUUAACACAUGCAAGUCGAGCGGAAAGGCCCUUCGGGGUACUCGAGCGGCGAACGGGUGAGUAACACGUGAGUAACCUGCCCCAUGCUUUGGGAUAACCCUCGGAAACGGGGGCUAAUACCGAAUAUUCACUACAGGUCGCAUGGUUUGUGGUGGAAAGUUUUUCGGCGUGGGAUGGGCUCGCGGCCUAUCAGCUUGUUGGUGGGGUGAUGGCCUACCAAGGCGACGACGGGUAGCCGGCCUGAGAGGGCGACCGGCCACACUGGGACUGAGACACGGCCCAGACUCCUACGGGAGGCAGCAGUGGGGAAUAUUGCACAAUGGGCGGAAGCCUGAUGCAGCGACGCCGCGUGAGGGAUGACGGCCUUCGGGUUGUAAACCUCUUUCAGCAGGGACGAAGCGCAAGUGACGGUACCUGCAGAAGAAGCGCCGGCCAACUACGUGCCAGCAGCCGCGGUAAGACGUAGGGCGCGAGCGUUGUCCGGAUUUAUUGGGCGUAAAGAGCUCGUAGGCGGCUUGUCGCGUCGACUGUGAAAACCCGCGGCUCAACUGCGGGCUUGCAGCCGAUACGGGCAGGCUAGAGUUUGGUAGGGGAGACUGGAAUUCCUGGUGUAGCGGUGAAAUGCGCAGAUAUCAGGAGGAACACCGGUGGCGAAGGCGGGUCUCUGGGCCGAUACUGACGCUGAGGAGCGAAAGCGUGGGGAGCGAACAGGAUUAGAUACCCUGGUAGUCCACGCUGUAAACGUUGGGCGCUAGGUGUGGGGAACCUCUCCGGUUCUCUGUGCCGCAGCUAACGCAUUAAGCGCCCCGCCUGGGGAGUACGGCCGCAAGGCUAAACUCAAAGGAAUUGACGGGGGCCC
rnacentral:rRNA from 1 species